AGGAUGAACGCUGGCGGCGUGCCUAACACAUGCAAGUCGAACGUCCUGUCUCGCAAGAGGCAGGGAGUGGCGGACGGGUGAGUACCACGUGGGUCAUCUACCGUGAGGUGAGGAAUACCGGCGAGAAAUCGCCGACAAGACCGCAUAGCCUCGGUGCAAGCCGAGGAAAGCUCUUUCGAGAGAGGGAGCGCCACACGAGGAGCCUGCGCCCGAUUAGCUAGCUGGUGGAGUAACGGUUCACCAGGGCGACGAUCGGUAGCUGGUCUGAGAGGACGAUCAGCCACACUGGGAUUGAGAACGGCCCAGACUCCUACGGGGGGCAGCAGUGAGGAAUUUUCGUCAAUGGGGCAACCCUGAACGAGCAACGCCGCGUGCAGGAGAAGGUUUUCGGAUCGUAAACUGCUUUUCUCGGGGAAGAGAACGGACGGUACCCGAGGAAUCAGCCCCGGCUAACUACGUGCCAGCAGCCGC
rnacentral:rRNA from 1 species